UACGUAGGGACCGAGCGUUGUCCGGAAUCAUUGGGCGUAAAGAGCGUGUAGGCGGCCACUUAAGUCCUGCGUGAAAUCUUGCGGCUCAACCGCAAGCGGUCGUGGGAAACUGGGUGGCUAGAGUGCGGGAGAGGAGAGUGGAAUUCCUGGUGUAGCGGUGGAAUGCGCAGAUAUCAGGAGGAACACCAGUGGCGAAGGCGGCUUCCUGGCCUGUAACUGACGCUGAGACGCGAAAGCGUGGGGAGCGAACCGG
rnacentral:rRNA from 1 species